GUCCAACCCCCAUACCAUGACCAGGGACAUCUUCAACUAGAUCAUGUUGCUCAGAACCACAUCUAGGCUGGCCUUAAGUGUCUCCAGGGAUAGCUCAUCCACUGCCUCUCUGGGCAACCUGUGCCAAUAUUUUACCACCCUUUUUGUAAAGAAUUUCUUCCAGCCUGAAUCUCCCCUCUUUUAGUUUAAAACCGUUACCCCUUGUCCUAUUGCAAACAUUCAUUUGUGCUAGGAAAAACAGUGCUUAUUCCGCCAUUCAGAGACAUCAUAAGUAAACUGCAGUACCCUGUGAACUCUAAACCUGUUCACUGUACAGAAACAAGUACCAGGAUCUCAGUGAAUAGCUGGGGGUAUAAUUUAUUUAUCUUUGGCUUUUGUUUCUUAUACAUGAGGUCAAACCCAAUGUGCCUGGAAAAUAAAUAUAUAAAAUAUUAGAAAAAAAAAACUUUGAACUUUCUUAGGGUAAAGCAAAAUACUUUCUUUUGUAAUUGUUGUGAAAUCCAGGUUUAUCUCAAUGUAAAACCAGCAUAACAAUUGUAUGUCCAAAUAUAUUUAAAAAGAAGGAAGAUCCUUAUACUGGGACUGUGAAAUGUAUUUUAAGUAUGAGACCACAUUUUUUUUUCUUACUAUGAAUGAGGAUAGUUGAUAUUGACCAGUUGGAGCCGAGUCUAUCCAAGAAGUCACCUUGGCCAAGCCAGGUAUACCUCGAACUCAGGCCACAUGAGGACUAGGGCACAGGCCUAAGCUUAAAUGCAGCUCGAAAGCCAAAGUGAGAGAGGUGUGCGGGUGGAUGGAGAAGAUAAGGCUUCUCACAGCUGUUCUCACAGAGCCCUUGUCCCUGUUACACAGCUGUGUCAUAUCAGAGCAUAGCUUGAAUGCUGGCAGCUGAAGUCUAGGGGGUGGAUGGAUGACACUGAUAAAAAUUUUAUAGGAGAGGAAGGUUGCAGGCUGCUCAAGGUAUUUGCAACCUAUUUGUUUUCUUAAAGUUUUGAUCCUGAAAUUAUAUUUACUAUUUUGAGUUGGGGUAGUGAGGCAUUCUGGCUUUUAGAUGUUCUAGCUAUGCAGACAAGUAUGAAAUCUUUCUCUUCUUACUGCUACUAUGGCAUGAAUUCAGGAAACUUCAAUAACCCCUUGUACUUUCAUUAGUCAAGUGCUGCAUAGCAUGAGCAGCUUGGUAACUGAGCUACAAGAUAACAUAAUGAAAAAGAAAUAUAUUGAUCAUGACAAAGCUUUUUUUUCCUCUAGGAUGUGUUAUUCUUCUCCACUGGAUUUGGUUUCUUGGUCCCAUAUUAUACUAAACACAAAACUUAUUUUCAGCUCUUUUCUAUGAUACUAGGCCAUCUUUUCUAUUUCUGGGCCAAAUGAUUUAAUUAUUGCAUGCAAAAUGGAACAGCUUUAACAAGGACUCAGACUUCCCUUUGGACCAGAUGUUGGUUAAGUGCUCACCUGUCACAUAACAGCUAGCAUGUACUACACUGGAUAGCAUUAACAGAG